rnacentral:other from 1 species
GUCACAGAUGAACCCUUGUAGGGUUGAAGC